GUUGCAUAAACUGGACACAAAGAACCCACAGAGAGAGGACUGCUGAACUUGCCUAAAGGAGGGAACCCCCCUGCUGUCUGCUCAGAGUGAACAACCUCCUCCACACACUUCAUCUGCCAUCAGCUGGGCCACUCUACCAUGCCAACUGGAACCCUUGAGAACUGACAAGAAGGCACAUACAAGAUUGAAAGAAAUGAUGAAGACAACAAGACUUGAAAACAUUAUUCAAGAAAAAAAAGAUUGAAGAGAACUCUAGAACUGAAAAAAAUCACAGGUAGAAUGAAUCAACACAAAAUAGGCCAUUAGGGUUCAAAGGUAAGGUAGAGCAUCUAGAUAAAGUACAUGAGUUCUUCAUAAGUGAAGAACAUGAAAAAUUAAUAAAGCACACAGGAAAGAAACAUAUAUGAAAUGUGCAACAUCAUGAAAAGACCAAACUUUCACAUAUCAGAAAUAGAUGAGGGAGGAGAAUUCUAGGUCAGGGGCACAGAGCAGAUCUUCAACAGGUUGAAAGAAGAAAAUUUCCACAAACUAAGGAAAGACAUAACCAUACAGAUACAACAAGACUCAAACACCAGGUAUUCGGGGCAAGAAAAGAAAUUCCCCACAGCAUGUCACAGUUAAAAUAUUAAGUAUAUGGAAAAACAACAACAAAAAUAGCAUUGAAAGCUGGAGGGGGAAAGUCUUAUAUAAAGGAAAACCCAUUAGAAAAACUGACUUCUCAACAGAAACUUUCAAAGAUCAAAGAUGGAAGCAAUGCAUUCCAAAUC